GCGACCCCAGGUCAGGYGGGACUACCCGCUGAA
rnacentral:rRNA from 1 species